rnacentral:rRNA from 1 species
UACGAGGGGGGCGAGCGUUGUUCGGAAUUAUUGGGCGUAAAGAGCUCGUAGGCGGUUCGUCGCGUCGGCUGUGAAAACCUGAGGCUCAACCUCAGGCCUGCAGUCGAUACGGGCGGACUUGAGUACUGCAGGGGAGACUGGAAUUCCUGGUGUAGCGGUGAAAUGCGCAGAUAUCAGGAGGAACACCGGUGGCGAAGGCGGGUCUCUGGGCAGUAACUGACGCUGAGGAGCGAAAGCGUGGGGAGCGAACAGG